UAGGGUGUUAUUUAUAGGUUUUUUGAGGCUCUUGCUCAUGAACAGACUCUAAAACUAAAUGGGGGGCCACAGAGUCGGGGCCCCAUAUAGAUACCUCGACUCCUCCUCGGCCCAUUUCCUGUCUAAUCAUACCCAAUAGCAAAUUAAAACACAAAAAAUAAAUUCUUGAACUUUUUAUUUAUUCUUUUUUUUUACCAUGUAAAUACUCACUAUUGUUUACAGCCUGGUUGGCUUCUCAGUUUUUACACUGGUUGCUAAUUGAAAUCUUAUUGCUUCAGAUAACAUAAUUAGAUAUAAUAAAGUUUUGUCCAUAUUUUUCUGAAAAUGAAUGUAAUUGAGUAAAAUGUAUUCAGAAAAGUGUAAUCAAUGUUUGUAAAGAAAGCUUGUUGAGUUUGUAUAAAAGAGAACGCAAAAAAAACAAAACAAGGAUCCUCUUGUUCUGUUAUUUGUUUCUGUUUGACUCGCCUACUUCUGAGAUUCUUGGGAAGGUUGAUCAAAUUCCUACUGUAACUAAUUGGAACAUAUGUAAUUGUGACAUUCAUUUUCUUGUGACACUAAAUUUCUCUCCAGAAAUUAAAUUUAGAAUUUCACCACAUUAGAUAAAAAACAAGGUAAAUAUAACUAUAAUUUGCGGGUCUCCACAAUUUUAGGAGACCCGAAGCAUUCUAAUUCAGUGGAUAUAUACAAUAAAAUUAUUGCUUUUUUAUUUUUUUUUUUUUUUUUUCUGUAAGAAUGUAAUGCAAUUGCACUAAGAUGGGGCAAAUGAUUGUGCUAAUAUACAUCUGUAAUGAGAAAAAAAUGACUUGAAAUGCUACAUAAGUCUAUAAAAGAAAGCUCUUUAGAACAACCACCAGAUUUUUAUCAAUGGGUUAAUAUUCCCUGGUGGAAAAGACUGACAGGUCUAUAUGGGUACAUGAACGGAAAAGACAUUGAUCACCAAAAUAAGCAUUUGCUCUGAAUUUCUUGCAAAUACAAUGAAAUUGCUGUU